rnacentral:rRNA from 1 species
AUUGAACGCUGGCGGCAUGCUUUACACAUGCAAGUCGAACGGUAACAGGCCUUCGGGUGCUGACGAGUGGCGAACGGGUGAGUAAUGCAUCGGAACGUGCCCAAUCGUGGGGGAUAACGUAGCGAAAGUUACGCUAGUACCGCAUAAGCCCUGAGGGGGAAAGUGGGGGACCGCAAGGCCUCACGCGAAUGGAGCGGCCGAUAUCAGAUUAGCUAGUUGGUGGGGUAAAGGCCCACCAAGGCGACGAUCUGUAGCGGGUCUGAGAGGAUGAUCCGCCACACUGGGACUGAGACACGGCCCAGACUCCUACGGGAGGCAGCAGUGGGGAAUUUUGGACAAUGGGCGCAAGCCUGAUCCAGCCAUGCCGCGUGCGGGACGAAGGCCUUC